rnacentral:lncRNA from 1 species
AGAAAGAGACUCUGAGGGCUGCGCGGGAGGCCUCCACCCGGUCUAUCUCAGUGCUUUCAGCUGGCCGCUAAAGGGCUUUGUUAAGGACCAAGCCCUAGCGCCAUCUCCUGGCGGAACUGAAAACUGGCUAAGAGUCAUUUCAUGCAAGGACCCUCCCUUGCCUUGAUAGGAUUUAAGUUCAGGAGAAAAACCUGGUAAUUUUGUCAGAACGGCUGUGUUUUCAACCUCCUGUUAAGGAUCAAAAUGGAGAAUAGCAGAUGGUUUUUAGUGCUGUGAAUCAGGUAACACCGUGGUUGCAAGGAUACCUUGCAUUGGCCUUGUCUGAUGGAUGCUACAGUGUGGUGGGAAAGGAAAGCGGGACAGACAACAAAAAAUGAAUGGACAAAUAUAUCCCAUGUUAGGUAACUACAAUAUCAAAGAAGAAAAGCCAAUCAAGGUAUUAUAAUCAGAUGACGGGUAGUUUAAGGAGUGCCGUUGGUCAGAUGAUAUAAAACUAGGGUGUGGAGUAAGUGAAAUCACCCAAACUAAAACCUAAAGGAAGGACGCUCCUGGAAUGAGGAACAGCAACACAAAGACUCUGAGAUAAGGAGACGUUAC